rnacentral:lncRNA from 1 species
GGUAGAGUAACCUUGUGUUUGGCAUAUGUGUCAUUGGGAAAAAAUAAUUAGUGAUUCCCAAUGCCAGUAAGCAUGAGAUUUUACUGUUUGCUUAUUCAGAGGUAAGGCUUUGUUUGUUUGUUUUUUGCAAAUUUCACACUCCACGCAAUAGACAGAUAUGCCAAUGCCCAGGUAGUUGAUCAUAUUGUCUGUCACCCAGAUGUGGACUGUGGUGUUUCUGCAGGUAUCCCUUGUAGACUGUAGCCUCAGAGUUCUUCUGUUAUCCAGGUAGCCUUGAUGAGUCGUGAAAUGAUGCCAGUGAACAAGAGUAUUUGUGAUUGUCCUUGUAGCAUAGGUUGUGGACCAAGCAGUUUCCAUAAUAUGUCUUUCAGAUGUGUGUCAGGGCAUCACAGCAGGCCUUUCAAUCCUAGGUAAUGUGGGACAUUGCUGGGUGAGGUAAGUGCCACAGCCUGCAGUGUGGGACUGUUACAGAGACCUAGUUCUGUGAUGAUGUGUCCCUACAUGUCUUCCCAUCGUGAUUUCUUUCCCAGGUAUUUGGGAGAGAAAUGAUUGAGUCCUUACCAAUCCCAGGAUUUCUCCUGGUGUCCAGUCAAGAAAUAAUGGAUUUCUGCAUAGAUUUUGACCGUGUAUCACUGAAGUUGUGCAGAUAUUCCGAUAAGAAAUGUAGAGUCCUGGCUGAGCGCAGUG